CGGAACGGGUGAGUAACGCGUGAGGAACCUGCCUCAAAGAGGGGGACAACAGUUGGAAACGACUGCUAAUACCGCAUAAGCCCACGGCUCGGCAUCGAGCAGAGGGAAAAGGAGCAAUCCGCUUUGAGAUGGCCUCGCGUCCGAUUAGCUAGUUGGUGAGGUAACCGCCCACCAAGGCGACGAUCGGUAGCCGGACUGGGAGGUUGAACGGCCACAUUGGGACUGAGACACGGCCCAG
rnacentral:rRNA from 1 species